CCGACCGGGCGGGUGUUUUUUUCUGUUUACGUAACGUAAUCAGAAAUUUUUACACCAUUAUAUAAUGUAUCAAAAUUAUAAUACAAAUGAUGACAAUAAAACAUCACAUAAUAUAAAAAUUGUUGUAACAUAAUUUGAUUACAAAAUUGAUCACACUGUGAAAAGGUAAUUUUAGUUGGACCACAUUUCUAUUGACGACCAUUAAAAUAAGAUGAAAUUAAGAAUUAUGAGUUAGUAUGAUAUAUGAAAUAGAUAAAUAAUGUAUACUUUUUAAUGGAAAUUAAUUUAUUCAACUGCUAUGAAAAAUAACUUAUUUUAAAUUUUAUUAAGAUUUGUAAAAGAUUUUUUUUUAAGAUUAUGAAUAAUAUUGAAAAAGUUACAAUUUAAUUAAAAGCUUGAGUUUGUGUUAAAUAGAAAACCUUUUGGAUCAUUUAGCAUUGAAAAGGGCCCAUAAUUUUAAAAGUCCAUGUGUAACAGUUUUUUUUCCGGGAAGCAGAUAUUUUUUUUUUUGGAAACUCGGUUUUGGCAAACGGUUAAUGUUCUCUUAUCUCUUUUUUUUUGUGUGGUCUCUCUUUCUUCUUCAAUGAGAAGAAAACAAAAACAAAUCCGAUUCUGCACCUCGAAUUCCUUCUAACAAAGAUAGAUGAUCGAGAAUUCUAAUUCCAUUUGAAGAGCUAUGCAAGGUAAUCAACUGUAACCCUAAUCAAGUACUUUAAUUAAGUUUUUUGUUUAGAUAUAUAUUGAACUUGCAGAUCUUACAGUGAUUUGGAGAUAUUAGACAUGCAAGCAAUCAGAUCUUCAAACUUGAUGGAUCCACCGAUGACUUCAUCUCGUACGAUCAUGGAACAAUCAGAUCUUCAAACUUGGUAGAUCAAACUUGGAACAAUCAGAUCUUCAUCUCGUACACAACUUCAUCUCAUACGAUCUGUCGAGAACAAACUAAAUAAUUGUAUAAUGGUGGUCACUAAGCAAGUUCCUACCGAAGCUUUGCGUUAGACAGAUAAGUAUAUGACUAAUUUUUUUUUAAUCAUCUUAUAGUAUUUUAGUCAGUUCACUUUCCAUGUAUAUAUUUAUGAGCAGGUGAAUGAUGGCAUCUUUAGGGCCAGAGCUUUGUCAGGAGGUGAAAGACAUGGGAGAGAAACAAAACGUGAUGCAAUCCAUAUUAAGGAGAAACAUUCAUAUUGAACGUGGGGAUAUUCAAUGGCCAGAAUAAUUCUUCCACUAAAUAUUUUGAAUGUCUAAGGUACCCAAUAUUUUAAAACAAAAUUUAUUGCUUUAUAGAUUAACUUUAGUUAGACGAACAAUAGAAUGUGCUAAGUUGUUUGGUUAGUAAAGUUAGUUGAUGAUAUUCUUUAUAGAAAAUAUAAACUAAGAAAAAAAGGCUACUUUAUUAUAAAAGAUCAGAGAACAAAAAAUCCACUUAAAAUUCACUUAUUAAAAAACUUAAAGUGCAGAAAUAAACAACGGAAGCAAAAAACUAAAAUAAAAACACUCAAAGCAAAAAACAUAGGUAUAGGCCAGCAAGAAACAUAGGUAGUCCUUCAGCUUCGAAAAAACUAAUCGAUCUUAGAUUUUUCAGUCUUGACUGUGGGAGUGCACAACUUCUUUGAAGUAGAUGUUAUGUCUGCCAGUUCUGAAUCAGUUUCUUUUCUUUUCGAGAAAGGAGUUGCACAAUCUCCUGAUGAUGCAUGAUUCUCAACAUCCUGCAACAUAACCUACAUUCCAAAGAAAUAACAAACAUUUGGUCAACAACUUAAAAUAACAUCAAUAGGAUAAAUCAUUCUAGAUUUCAGAAACACGUACCCCACCAGAGACACAGUGGAUGAACAACCUUCUAUAAGGGUGACUGGUUCUGAUUCAGUUUCAAUUUGGUGAAUAAUAUAUCCAGACCAGACUUUUGAAACCUUAUAGAUCUCGGAUCCGGAAUCAGAGGGACAGAGUCCAAAACAGAAAGAUUUGCCUACCAAAUCCAGUAUUGGUUGAGGCAAAUUUUCUGGAUCUUCAAUCUGGAAAAUAAAAAUUUAGAUAAUACAUUUUUUUUAUUCAAGUUGUAUAGACACAAACUUACCUCUUCAUAAGAACCAUCCCAAAGCUCCUGUGCUUCAAAACCGAUGAUGCUUUUUGCAAUAGAGCCAAGCAACACGAGUUUACAGUCUCCAGUGUCAUCAUGAACAAUCAAAUGAAGUUUGAAUCUGUCAUGAUAAUUCAAUGUUAGGACAACAUGUACUUUUGUUUUGAUAUAUAAACUUAUAGAUAAAAAGUUCAUUUAGACAAAAAUGAAAACAAUCUUACUUUGGAACGACAUUAGAUCCAUUGGUACGACACCCAGCACAACGGAACAGAGGUUUAGCAAGCUUGCCAGACACAGACCUUCUGAUCCUAGUAACAAGCUUGCCACAACCCUUACAUCCAAAAUAGUACAACGCCCAAUCAGUAUCUACUGCUUCCACUGAACACACGAUCUUAACGUUCUCGAGCUACAAUUAGUUGUAUCAAAUAGGUUACAUGAGAUCAAAAUGUGAAAAAAUUAUGCCGCAUAAUUAAUAUUAGUUAUAAGUUUGAACUUUUACAAACAAACCUCAGAAGUUUCCUGUAACUCAGAAAUCAAAAUGAUACCAACAUCAUCCCAAUCAUCAGCAACUUUGAGAAGAUCCUUUUUCGGGUCAUUCUGUUCAUUCCCAGCUAGAGGAAGGUCCAUAUUUUUGAGCCUGAGUUCAUUUAUUAAGUAAAAGAAACAAAUUAAUUAUUUGAAUAAAAAAAUAAGUAAGUAAAAUAUUUGCUAAGCUAAAUAUUCUACUUCUCUUUGAAAUCCAAAGCCUCAGCCAUAGUUUUGAGAUCCAAAAGUGAUGCGUCAAAUGCAUUUGUUAUUUGAACUUCACCUACAAUUAUGAUAGUUUAAAAAAAAUUAUUAAAUCGCAUAAAUAUUUCAUAUUAAAGCGCAUGUAAUUAUAUAUUUUCAUACCUCCAAACUCACUGAUUUUAGCCAAUCUUAGCAAGCAAACAAUGUCUUCACCAACAUGUUUCUCACGAUGAUGUUCGAUUUGCUCAGCAUAACGGCCCCAAAGACAACAUGCCAAAGAAUUACCACUGUUUUACACACAUGAAAACAUAUUAUUUUUUUUGAAAUCAAUAUAAGUUCAUUGAAAUCAAUCUAAGUUACGAUCUAAUACCUGUUGUCUCGUAAGCGAAAUAGAAUCCUUUUCCUGUCUUCAUUAUGGACUUGGAUGAUCUGAACUUCACCAAUAUCAAUAGCUUGGCCUAUUAUGUCUGUCAUAAAUAAUUAUAGUAAUGCUAGUCAGAAUAUGUAGUAUUGAAAAGAUAAAAAUAAUCUAAGAGAAGUAGUUCAAAAUUAUAUACCAAUAAGACACUUAGUAUUAACACUUCCAUCCAAUAUCUCAUUGUAACUUGCUAGAGAUAAAAAGCUGCUAUCGUCAGUGAGAUCGGAAUCUGCAAAAACAGUAUCGUUUGUGAUAUUCAUCUUAUAGCCCAGGUUUGUUGGUUUGUAUUUGCCACCCGUUCCAGAUAUCUUCACAUUCUGAAUAACACGCCAUUUUCCAAGAGGAAGGCUACGUUGAACUCGCUUAAUGAGAGUUCUCUUGCAGGAGCACUGAACUUUAGCAUCCUAAUAAUAACAAAUGAUUGUAUCAUAAAUAAAAUCUACUAUAUUUAAAUUCAAAACAAAAAAAAAUGAUUAUAGAACUAACAGUUUGAUCAGCUAAAACCAUUUCUAAUGUUUCAUCAGCGUAAGGUGGGUUUUGUAUCCAUGAGUGAAUCAGUUUCACUUGAACACGCCACGCAUCCUUAAAGGGUUUAAGGUCGCUGAUGAGAUGAAACCUUUUGUUAGCAGACAUGUUUUUUUGGUGAGGAAAGUCGUAAUAGAAUGUGUACAAUGGUGUGGUACUCGGGUAGAAUAUAUAGUAGAGGGACAAUACCCUAGUUGAGAAUAAGAUUUGCUUAAUUUACAAGGCAUUUUUGGCGAAAUUAAUGAAAAUAAUAUUUUGUUUUUAUUCUGUUUCUUGUUUUCGAAAUGAUGCUAAAAAUCUUAAUUGUUAUGAUUUGAAAUAGGAAAUGAUAAUAUCUUGUGCUUGUUCCCCAAGUUUAGGUGUUUAUUGAGUAAAUCAAAGAUUUUGUAUAAAUCUUGAUCAACAUGUCAAUAAUGCGAUGCAAUUCCGUUUUUUUAGGGUGGGAAUCACGUUUGAGUUAUUAAAAAGAGGUUAAUGAAAAGAAUAUUUUGUUUUUAUUAUGUUUCUUGUUUUCGAAAUGAUGUUAAAAAUCUUAAUUGUUAUGAUUUGAAAUAGGAAAUGAUAAUAUCUUGUGCUUGUUCCCCAAGUUUAGGUGUUUAUUGAGUAAAUCAAAGAUUUUGUAUAAAUCUUGAUCAACAUGUCAAUAAUGCGAUGCAAUUCCGUUGUUUUAGGGUGGGAAUCACGUUUGAGUUAUUAAAAAUAGGUUUCCUUAUUUGUAGUUUGUUGGUGUUAGAUAAGGAAAAUAAUUGAAAUGUGGAAAAGACAAGAAUUUUUAAGUAGAGAUAAAUUUAAUUCUCAAUGGCAUUUGACUGUAAAUAUUGUGUAACUUAUAGGGUUAUUAUAUAAGUGUACUUCUGUUUUAAUAAGAUAGAUAAUCAUGCAUGUAUCUUUCCACAUUAACACACUUGACAGUAAAGAACCAACAGUAAUACAAUUUUCAAUAUCCUCUUUUCAAUUCUGAUUUCAUUGAACGUAAUUCAUCUAAAAUACAUAAAACAAUAUAGGUGAAAACAGUAUUAACACACUUGACAACCAACAGUAAUACAAUUUUCAAUUCUCAUUUCAUUGACCGUAAUUAAUCUAAAAUACAUAAAAUAAUAUAGGUGAAAACAGUAUUAUUUAAAUUAGUAGAAAGUAUGAAACGGGUCGGAUAAUAAAAUGGAGAUAUAAUUAUUUUUCCUUCUGGACAUAUCAAUAUUACUUGUAAGGUAUAAAUUAUAACAGUACUCAAUUGUCAUAAAAAUAAAUAUUCUGAAAUGAAAGAGAAUUAGGUGGAACCUUACGUCCAAUAUUGAAUGCAUCACUCCCUUUAAUCUUUAACAUUUUAUAUAUUAUGGGUUUUGCAUUUACUUUAGUCUCAUUUUCUUGUCUAACCGUAGGAGACUCGUGCCCAUGCUGAGUAAAGUUUGCGCCAUGGAGAAAUUAAAAGUUUUGCUACCCAAAACCCGGUAAUAUAAUACUAGUCAAUACAGUAUAAUUCUAAUCGGUUACACUGCAUUAUAUAUCUAGGCAUAUUUCAUUUAUAAAUAACAUUUCAUAAAUAUAGUCCGACAAAGUGUAGUGAGGUCCAACACUAAUCUAUAACUCAACAUUAAUUAUAUCUAGUUUCAAAAAAAAACAUUUAUUAUAUGUAAUUUUAACAAAAUGGAGACAAAUCUUAUACUAUAAUAUAUACUAGAUUUAGAUCCGCGCCUUGCGCGGGAUAAACAUUAUAUAUAUAAAUUAUUUUAUGUAUUAUAUGUUCUUACAUAUUAUGAAAUAAUAAAUAUAUAUUGAAUAAUUAAA